rnacentral:rRNA from 1 species
GACGAACGCUGGCGGCGUGCUUAACACAUGCAAGUCGAACGGAAAGGCCCUGCUUUUGUGGGGUGCUCGAGUGGCGAACGGGUGAGUAACACGUGAGUAACCUGCCCUUGACUUUGGGAUAACUUCAGGAAACUGGGGCUAAUACCGGAUAGGAGCUCCUGCUGCAUGGUGGGGGUUGGAAAGUUUCGGCGGUUGGGGAUGGACUCGCGGCUUAUCAGCUUGUUGGUGGGGUAGUGGCUUACCAAGGCUUUGACGGGUAGCCGGCCUGAGAGGGUGACCGGCCACAUUGGGACUGAGAUACGGCCCAGACUCCUACGGGAGGCAGCAGUGGGGAAUAUUGCAGGAUGGGCGGAAGCAUGAUGCAGCAAAGCCGCGUGCGGGAUGACGGCCUUCGGGUUGUAAACCGCUUUCGCCUGUGACGAAGCGUGAGUGACGGUAAUGGGUAAAGAAGCACCGGCUAACUACGUG